rnacentral:piRNA from 1 species
AAUAAGGCAACGCUUGACUGAGGUGA